rnacentral:lncRNA from 1 species
AUGCAGUACCUAAUGUUUAAUUAUCAAGUCAGGGUAACUGAAGGAUUUUAAUUUGUUAACAAUAAUUACAGUUACUAAUGUGGUAUAGUGUAAUAAUUCAGUACAUCUUCAUUAAAAGUUUUAAAGAUCGGGUCUUGCUCUAGCCAUCCUGGCCUCAAAACUCUUGGUCAUCCAACAUUAGCAUUCUGAGUUCUGAGGCUUGAGUCGCCACACCCAACAUUAACAGUUUUCCUGUGUUGUGUUAGCCUUUCAAGAGUUGCAGAAGAAACAAUCAGGGAUUACUUUGAAUCUCGCCUUGCUCUACUGGAACCUGUUUUCCCAAUUGCAUGUCAUCGGCUCUGUGAGGGGCCCGAUUUCUCAACAGAUUUCAAUUACAUGCCCCCUCAGAACAUGCCUGAAGGAUCUGGUGUCCUCCUCUUCAUUUUCCAUGCAAACUUCUUGGGUAAAGAUGUCAUUGCUCGGCUUUGUGGACCAUGCAGUGUGCAAGCCGUGGUGCUAAAUGAUAAAUUCCAGCUACCUGUUUUUCUGGACAGUCACUUUGUUUAUUCAUUCAGCCCUGUUGCUGGCCCCAAUAAGUUGUUUAUAAGGUUGACGGAAGCACCCUUUGCCAAGGUGAAGUUGCUAAUAGGUGCUUACAGAGUACAGCUGCAGUGACCCAUCUCUCCUCAGCUGGAUCCCCGAGUACCUACCGUCUUCGUUGCAGUUUGGAAUUGUGGUGCACUGAAAUGUUCAUCCGUAGUUUUAACUAUAAACUUACAAUGUAAGCCCUGCUGCCUGUUUAGCUUUGUCUACCUAUUUGUGCCAUUGUUCGAAAACGUUCAAUGUUCUGCUUAGUUUUUCCACAAUGUGGAAUAUAAGAAAUAUUUAAGGAAAUUAAAAACUUUUGAAUUGAAA